rnacentral:lncRNA from 1 species
AUGAUCAGGAAGCGGCCGCACCAGCAGGGCGGCGGUGGCGGCGGCGGCCAGGGCCGCCGCCACUCCAGCCGCUCUCCAGCCAGCCGCUCUCCAGGCACCCGCAUACCCGCUACCCCCGCGGCCACCCCUCCGCGCCCCCCGCCUGGCACCCGGCCGCGCGCAAAGUCCCGGCCAGGCUGCAGGAGCAGUCCUUUCCCCGCCCGCAGCCGCACACCCGGCGACACCGGCCCUCCGAGAGGAGACCCCCGCCCCGGGGCGCCGAGGCCGGGCGACCACCCGCGGGGAAGUCCAGCCCUCCCCGAGACCCUCUCUCUCUCACCGCCCUCUCCGGGGAGGAGGAAUGGGAAGAGGGCGGCCGGGAAAGGGACCACCCCCCCACCCCGGCCGCCGCCACCUCCCCCCUGCGCCACCCGGAGGGAGGAGGACAUAGCUCUCCGCACUCGCGACCGGACCAGCAGCCGGGGGGAGCGGGGCCCCUCCGCCGCUCUCCCCGCCCGCGCCCCCCGCCCGGGCGCGCCCCCUAGCCUGGCGGGCGCCCACCCAGCCCCUGACAGCCCCCUCGCCGGCCGCCCCUGCGCCCAGAGUGGGGGUGUCGGCCCGGGAGCCUGGAGCCGGGGACGGUUGUAUGUACACACACACACACACGCACACACACAGAACACGACGCGUCGAUUUCCUUCGCUCCUCUUCCAGCUGUUUUCCGUGCAGCCGAUUGGGGUUUGGGGUUUGUUUGCUGGUUGUUGCUUUUGCCCCUCUCGGGAGAUCGGGUCCGGAAAUCGGCUUUGAUAUGGAACUACUCCGCUCUAGCCUGGAAAGGAGACCCGCGCACUCCUCUCGCAGCUAAUUUGGGAUCAUUAAUUUAAUCGGAAAUGAGGUAACCAGUGUAGGAGACAGAGAAAGCAACCGGAGCAUCAAAUGGCAGUUCUCGACAAUCGACGAGGAACUUAAAUCUGGACUCAGGGUUUUAGUGCGGUCCCUGAAUCCCACCACCCGGUCCCUCCGCCUGUCCCGCCGCCAGGUGUGACCUCCACGCGAAGGAAUCUUCUGCGGAUGGGUGCACCUUGCCAACAGGUGUGGCACCUGGAGGAUUAAGAGGCGCCUCCAGACUAAGGGUGCUCAAUGUGGCGUUCUUGUUGCAGAUGAUUCUGGAAGGCCAGUAGGUGUCGGGAGACAUUUGACCUUCUGCAGGUGCUUAGAACUAAGUGUCUGGAAACAUGAUCCCUUCGCGUAAGUUUUUUUCUGAAAGACAACGCUCUUGACUGUAAGCUGUAUUUGAGAGACCUUUUGGCUGAGUUUACUUAAGAUCUAACGGUUAGUCACCAACUGAGGCAGGGCACAGGAUGACCCAAAAAAAAUGUGUCAGUUUUUACACAACUCUGGCCUGCAAGAGUCUACGUGCUUCAUAAAUAAAAAUAAACAUCCGAGCGAGGAAGGUGCA